GGCUGCUUCGCUCAGUUAUGCGGUAAGCUGCUUCUAACUGCUGUGUGAGAGCUGAUCCAGAAACACCAUCUGAAGGGGGUUUCCCACACCUCAUCUUGACACCCAUCUGAAGAAAAGGCCUUAUUCAAACAGGAUUUUGCAUCUUUUCUCACAAUUAAAAAAAAAACCCUCCAGGCUGAGCAGUUGCCCCAGAAUCCAAACAUCCAAGGCAUAUUGACAAACAGAACACACAACCUACUUACCUGGAUAUAUACACAUCUGCUCCAGAACACUAACAUUAGAAAUUCCCUAAGAAGCAAUGAGAAUUUAAGUACCAAAGACAGAGACUUCAGAAUACUACGUUAUUAGAAAAAUCAGAUACACCACCUGGCUUAUUUCCAGGGUUUGCUUUUCUGUGGUUUCUUCAGAGUGGUAUCUAAACACAAUCUAAAAUUGAGUCUGAAAUGGAAACAGCGAUCAAAAUUCAUUGCUGGAAAGUGGAAGAAAAGAGAUUUCCAGAAAAUGUCUGGAGAAAGAAGGAGAUGGAGAAGAAAUUCUAAGUUAAGAGCAGGUAAAAAUCUGUUACAAAGAGAAAAAGAAAAAUCUUUUCGCUGUGGCCAUGGUGAACAGGACUAAAACUUUGGGCUUUGGAUGCAAAGGGAAGGACCCAGGUUAUGGAUUAGGAGCAAAUUUCUGAAAGUGGAAAUUUUUAACCACAGAACUUGCUUGAUCAAGUUUUGGAAGAGAGAGUCCACCUCGAGAGGUCCUGAAGCACAAACUGAACAAAGAAGCAAUAUAUACACGGCUGGUUCUACACGGGGGCAGAAAGGGUAAAUGAGCUCUGAAUAAACUCUCGGAGUCCACUUCAGACUUUUAUUCUUUUAAUGUCAUUUGAAUAUAUCUAUAUUCCUCAAAAGCUCAGAAUACAAGUGCCAAACAGACGAAUCGUUCUUUGCUCGAAUGAGCAUCUGAAAAGAGGUAGCCAAAACAAUGUGCCAUCAGUGGUUCUUUCAUUCCCUGGAGACACAGUGUAGUACUGGAAGCUUCAAGACUCCAAAAAUAUCAAUUCAGGCUCAUUCUGUUCUAUUGAGCUGAGAAAGCAAUAAUAGUAAGGUCAAUUGCCUUUGUUGCAACAGUAUGUAUAUGGUAAGUGACACAGGAUUGUUUCAAUUCUAAAUACUUAAAGUUAAUAAUUCAAAUCUACAACACAAAAAUACAAGUAUUUCCAUCUUCCCCUCUGCUCUUCAUGCUAAUCCUAAUUUCUGCAUUCAUGGGGAGCUAUUACUUUGUCCAAGGAGUCUUUACCAUGCCCUGCUUCGUCCUUGCUUUCUUCAUCCACCACCUCCCCUUGAUCUACCAUAUUACUAUCAAAAUCUCCUUGCCAUCAUUGAUGUCCUUCCCUCUUUCUAAUACCACUCUUAUUUCUGAAAGUGUCACGCUAUAUAUUAGAAAUAUUUACUGUUGUCCACUACUCCAGAUGGUCAUAACGUCAUUCACAAAGCCUGCCCUGCAUAUGUCCUCCAGUUUCCUUCUGACUGAUCUGCUAAUAUAUUUUGAAGUUGUACGGAUAGGUAUAAAGGUCAGUGCUGGAAAGGAUAAGGAUGCCUGUGUUCUGCCCAUGUAAGAUACACAAUCAGAGGAUGAAAAAAAACAAAACCAAAAAAGUAUAGAUAGCACCUUAGACAUGCUGAGUGUUUGUUCUUGCAUUCCUCUCUCUCACAGAUACCCCUCUUCAGUUUCCCUGGCUCCUCUGUGCAACAUCAUCUGUGCACCAUGAGCAGAUGACAGCAAUGUCUUUUUGACCUGUGACAGAAAUAGCGAACACCAAAGUUUCUUUCCUCUGCAUCUCUGAAUCUCAAGUGACUUAGUAGUC
rnacentral:lncRNA from 7 species